GUUUCAAAAUGUUAGCCUCGAAGAACCAUUAAAAUUGGAGAAGAUUUUUCAAGAUUAUAAAACAUCGGUUCGCCCCGAUAUUUCCAGUGAUCAAACGGGAGGCGAACCAAAAACUCAAUCCGGUUUGAAAUGGAAAAUUAUUAUUAAACAUAAAAAUGAUAAAGAGUCUACUAAUCCUUGCAGCGGCCAAUGUUUAAGUGAUUCUGAAUACUGAAAUAAUUGUGUUUGUCCUUGUGCGCG